rnacentral:rRNA from 1 species
AACGAACGCUGGCGGCAUGCCUAACACAUGCAAGUCGAACGAGACCUUCGGGUCUAGUGGCGCACGGGUGCGUAACGCGUGGGAACCCGCCCUUAGGUUCGGAAUAACUCCCCGAAAGGGGUGCUAAUACCGGAUAAUGUCUUCGGACCAAAGAUUUAUCGCCUUUGGAUGGGCCCGCGUUGGAUUAGCUAGUUGGUAGGGUAAAAGCCUACCAAGGCGACGAUCCAUAGCUGGUCUGAGGGGAUGAUCAGCCACACUGGGACUGAGACACGGCCCAGACUCCUACGGGAGGCAGCAGUGGGGAAUAUUGGACAAUGGGCGAAAGCCUGAUCCAGCAAUGCCGCGUGAGUGAUGAAGGCCUUAGGGUUGUAAAGCUCUUUUACCCGGGAUGAUAAUGACAGUACCGGGAGAAUAAGCUCCGGCUAACUCCGUG